AAGAAAGUAGUUUUAAGUAAAAUGUGGACUUUGGGAGUCCGAGAUGCUAGUUUAUAUAGUCUUUCUUA
rnacentral:tRNA from 1 species